UGUGACAAAGCCCCUUGAGGACCCCGGAGGAGCAAAUAAAGUGUAUCUUCGAAUAUCAAUGCUUUGUUAUUUUGUUUUGACUAUUUUUUCUCCAAAUCAGCCUCCCUCUAAUUAUGGGGAGUAAAUUUAGUGUCUUCCCCCUAUUUUCUUUUCUCAUCAUCUUUACAUUGUGUAACGUUUUCUUCUCUUUUGAGUUUUGACAAUUUUUCUCCUCCAAGUGGCUCCAUGACUCAGAUUCUUUUGACAUAUUGCUGAUAGACUUUAAUGUAAUUUGUAUUAGUUUUAAAUAAAUGAAUCGAAUACAUAAGAUUAUAAGAAGAAGAAAAAAACGUAAUAAAUACGCCACGUGUGUGUGGUUUCUGGCGAAAGUAUUUGCCAUGUGAAGCUGCCCCUUUAGUUGGCCCCAACCAAAUACCAAUUAUUGCCUCUUCUCUU